ACCAUUUCAGGAAAUACAGCAGCAACGUGGCACUUUUAGACCAGCAAAGAGCCGGUCCCUCGUUAGCAUUAAUCAACAAGGAUCCUUGCUGGGUUGAACUGCAGCAAGCUGAAAAAUUACCUGCAGUGAUGUGGGAGCCACAAGGGAGGACUAAACAGAGCAAAAAGGUUCCCCAUCUCCUGCACACGGUCCUGGGUUAAUUUCAUCAGGUUCCUUUUAUUUCUCAAGGAUUUUCCUGCCAUUCUGAUUUUACACCAAGGAACCUGAAGUGCUCGGAGCUCUCCUCCACAAAGCAUUUCACCGUGCCCCGUGGGCAGCUGCUCUGUGCCACUGGGUGGAGGGGACUUUGUGGGCGCACCACAGUACAUCGGGGCCGUUCCAGGGAAACGCUCCACACUCCAUAAAGCCUGGGUGAUCACCUUCAGCCAAGGAGCUUGUGGUGGAUUGAUUACUGCACAGGGAGCACUUGGCUUGCUGCGGGCACAAAAGCAAUUUACUAGUUCUUCCACAGCCAGAUUUCCACCAACAGCUCGCAGGGCAACACGAUGAGUGUUUUCUCCCAAGCGUGGGGUGGAAGAAGGCAGGAGGAAGGAAUGGUGCACAUGGGGCCAUGCAGAAGGGCCCUCACCUGAAGAACUGGGCCCUGAAGGCAGCAGGCUCCUACAGACCUCACUCGAGAAUAUCAUCCAUCAUCUGCACCUAUAUGAAGAGCUGAGAACAAGAGGUUUAGGUGUGGAGAACCAUCCGGGAUUGUUUCUGUUCUAACUCGAAGGACCAGAAUUGAGUGCCUGAAGGCAGUCAGAGAAGAGGGAGCUGCCAUCAAGUUAAGUAGAGCAGGUUCUUUUAAGGACAUCAGCGAAGGAUGGAGUUAACUGGCUUUGAGGAGCACAGAGCCAACUCUUGCAAACAAGCCGGCGCACUGACCCUUCUUAUGGGCCUUCCCUAUUGCAUCCUUCUGCCUGGGUUCCUCAAGGCAAUAAAAUAACAACUCUUUGCUUCAUUACAUGUGUUGGAAAGCAUCUUGACUAGCAGCCCAAGCCCCUGGAAGAGCUGGCUUUAAGCCUUGGCCAAGCCAUCGAAUCAAAACAGCUUGUGAGAGAUGAAUUAAGCAUUCUCCUCUUUGCCUGCAAACAAAGGCCUGGGGGGGAGCAAUGGAGGCCUUCUGAAACAGAAGGGACGCACAGGACUGUCAGAUAUGCCUCUCGCCACCAUUUAGCCUUCCUGUCAAGCUGUACUCCAGGCUUAAAGGUUUCAUUUUUUACUUUUACCCUUGCUUCCUUAGGAAAAGAUGCCCAUGCAGAGGCACAGCAAGGCGGAGGACAAGCUCUGAACAGCAGGAGAGAGGUGAAAAGGAAGGAUGGAUCCUACCCCCAUGUCCAAUGCCCAUGUCUCCAGACACAGCAUGUGCUCCACUGGGCACAGGAAGGGGCUGGAACUAGGCAGCCUCGUCUCCUUCCAGCACACACCAGCCAGCACACAACUCACACCUGUCCACAUCUACCCUGGGUUCUUUCUGACCCAUGCAUCACCCCCACAAGGCAAACUGACCAUCAGGUCUGAAACCCAGGGGCUGGAAUGGAAAACACCAUGCAGCCCUCACUGCCAUUGCAGCAUCAGCAGCACCCGGAGCACCUCAGACAGAGGCAGAGAUGCAGGCAGAGGUGUGUGCUGUUCACUCUGCCCAGCAGAUCUGGAGCAGUGCCUGCCUGCUGUACUCCCGCUCUCUCUGUCCCGAUGCAGAUAAAUUUAGUUUUCUGCUCUCACUGCCUGGGGAAGAGUAGGGAGGGGGAGCUGACAUCUUUCAAACGAGACCUUAAAAAUAAGCUGUCUGCACAGCUGGGCACUGAAGAAUCUCAAGCAGAGCUUUGUCUGGCUAAAACAGCGCCCAUACCAAGUUACACCCUGCAACCCACCCAGAAACAGCUGCACAACAAGCCUUGCUCACAGCCCGACCAUCAUCUCGCUGUGUCAGGGAUGUUCAGGGGGUGCCAUCAUGCUGCACACACACACACACACACACACACACAGCUCCUGCUUUGUUUCUGAAGGUCUUCCUGGAGAUCUGGAGGACGAGAGGCCGGGAGUAUGGAACAGACCGUUUCCAAAGCCGUGCCCCAGGCCAGAAGCACAGCCUGGAUCUGCUUUCCAUAGCCGUGACCCAUUCUAACCAAUUCCCAACCAGCGAGACACUGCUUUCCCCGCGGCUGAAAGCUCCUCUGUGAGAGCAUUAAGCAUUUGAUAAAGAAAAUAACAGGAUGAAUAAAACCAUGUGUUUGUAC
rnacentral:lncRNA from 1 species